UACAGAGGGUGCGAGCGUUGUCCGGAAUCACUGGGCGUAAAGGGCGCGUAGGCGGCUUUUCAAGCGUGCGGUGAAAGCUCGGGGCUUAACUCCGAGUCUGCCGUGCGAACUGGGAGGCUUGAGUCUGGUAGAGGUCGAUGGAAUUCCGGGUGUAGCGGUGGAAUGCGUAGAGAUCCGGAAGAACACCGGUGGCGAAGGCGGUCGACUGGGCCAGAACUGACGCUGAGGAGCGAAAGCGUGGGGAGCAAACAGG
rnacentral:rRNA from 1 species